GACGAACGCUGGCGGCGUGCUUAACACAUGCAAGUCGAACGGAAAGGCCCUGUUUUGGGGGGGUGCUCGAGGGGCAAACGGGUGAGAAACAUGUGAGUAACCUGCCUUGGACUUGGGGAUAACUUCAGGAACCUGGGGCUAAUACCGGAUAGGAGCUCCGGCUGCAGGGUGGGGGUGGGAAAGUUUCGGCGGUUGGGGAUGGACGCGCGGCUAAUCAGCUUUUUGGGGGGGUAGUGGCUUACCAAGGCUUUGACGGGUAGCCGGCCUGAGAGGGUCACCGGCCACAUUAGGACUGAGAUACGGCCCAGACUCCUACGGGAGGCAGCAGUGGGGAAUAUUGCACAAUGGGCGGAAGCCUGAUGCAGCAACGCCGCGUGCGGGAUGACGGCCUUCGGGUUGUAAACCGCUUUCGCCUGUGACGAAGCGUGAGUGACGGUAAUGGGUAAAGAAGCACCGGCUAACUACGUG
rnacentral:rRNA from 1 species